rnacentral:rRNA from 1 species
GAUGAACGCUGGCGGCGUGCCUAAUACAUGCAAGUCGAGCGAACGGACGAGAAGCUUGCUUCUCUGAUGUUAGCGGCGGACGGGUGAGUAACACGUGGAUAACCUACCUAUAAGACUGGGAUAACUUCGGGAAACCGGAGCUAAUACCGGAUAAUAUUUUGAACCGCAUGGUUCAAAAGUGAAAGACGGUCUUGCUGUCACUUAUAGAUGGAUCCGCGCUGCAUUAGCUAGUUGGUAAGGUAACGGCUUACCAAGGCAACGAUGCAUAGCCGACCUGAGAGGGUGAUCGGCCACACUGGAACUGAGCCACGGUCCAGACUCCUACGGGAGGCAGCAGUAGGGAAUCGUCCGCAAUGGGCGAAAGCCUGACGGAGCAACGCCGCGUGAGUGAUGAAGGUCUUCGGAUCGUAAAACUCUGUUAUUAGGGAAGAACAUAUGUGUAAGUAACUGUGCACAUCUUGACGGUACCUAAUCAGAAAGCCACGGCUAACUACGUG